rnacentral:rRNA from 1 species
AUUGAACGCUGGCGGCAGGCCUAACACAUGCAAGUCGAACGGUAACAGAAAGCAGCUUGCUGCUUUGCUGACGAGUGGCGGACGGGUGAGUAAUGUCUGGGAAACUGCCUGAUGGAGGGGGAUAACUACUGGAAACGGUAGCUAAUACCGCAUAACGUCGCAAGACCAAAGAGGGGGACCUUCGGGCCUCUUGCCAUCGGAUGUGCCCAGAUGGGAUUAGCUAGUAGGUGGGGUAACGGCUCACCUAGGCGACGAUCCCUAGCUGGUCUGAGAGGAUGACCAGCCACUCUGGAACUGAGACACGGUCCAGACUCCUACGGGAGGCAGCAGUGGGGAAUAUUGCGCAAUGGGGGCAAGCCUGAUGCAGCCAUGCGGCGUGUAUGAAGAAGGCCUUCGGGUUGUAAAGUACUUUCAGCGGGGAGGAAGGGAGUAAAGUUAAUACCUUUGCUCAUUGACGUUACCCGCAGAAGAAGCACCGGCUAACUCCGU